UACGAGGGGGGCAAGCGUUGUUCGGAAUUAUUGGGCGUAAAGGGCGCGUAGGCGGCCUGACAAGUCUUGUGUGAAAUCUCUGGGCUCAACCCAGAGUCUGCACAGGAAACUGUCGGGCUAGAGUAUGGGAGAGGUGCGUGGAAUUUCCGGUGUAGCGGUGAAAUGCGUAGAUAUCGGGAGGAACACCAGUGGCGAAGGCGAUCAUCUGGGGUUGUUCUGACACUGAGGAGCGAAAGCUAGGGGAGCAAACGGG
rnacentral:rRNA from 1 species